AUGGACCGGGGUCAGUUCUUUGUCAGCAUGGAGAUUUUUGAACGCUCCCUUAACUUCAAGUGGGAGGUCAUUAUUGUCUACGGCCCCGCUGACCACACCCGAUCCGCCUCCUUCCUCGAGGAGCUCCACCGGAAGGUGUCGGCUGCGUCACUGCCGGUUGUUGUGGGGGGUGACUGUAAUCUCCUUAGGUUCGCGGAGGACAAGAGCAAUGCCAACGUCAACUUUGCUCUUAUGCAAAUGUUCAACGAUUGCAUUGCUGAUCUUGGCCUCCAUGAGAUUGACCGGGUUGAUGCCAGGUUCACCUGGACCAACCGUCAGGCUGCCCCGACCCAGUCCGUCCUGGACCGGGUCCUAGUUUCUCCGGAAUGGGACCUCCGUUGCUCCCUUGCCUCCCUUCGGGCCAUCACUCGGAUGAGAAGAAAGAAAACACAUGCCAGAUCUGUUUGGCUGCUUCUAGAUGCUUCCACUCUAGUGUAG
rnacentral:rRNA from 1 species